rnacentral:lncRNA from 1 species
ACUGCGAGUAGUAGUACUAUCUCAAGUCAAAGGAGCAGUCACACAACUACAGCAUCGAGACAAUCACUGAUGAUUGAAUAGAAAUCUAAGUGAUCUCUUGUAUGGUCACGCUCAGUGCUAGUUGUUCUUUAAUAACUACCCACACUGGUCAUCUUGUAUUUCUACACAGUAGAUUAGAGACCCAUCUAUCCUGAAGGAAGUGAUUUGUGUGUUAGUCUAUCUGCAUCUGUCACCAUUCUUAUGAUGAUCCUAU